AAACCAGCACCUCAAGUGGUCAGGAGGAUUAUUGGGCCUAAAGCAUCCGUAGCCUGAUCUGUAAGUUUUCGGUUAAAUCUGUACGCUUAACGUACAGGCUGCCGGAAAUACUGCAGAUCUAGGGAGUGGGAGAGGUAGACGGUACUCGGGAGGAAGUGGUAAAAUGCUUUGAUCUCUCGAUGACCACCUGUGGCGAAGGCGGUCUACCAGAACACGUCCGACGGUGAGGGAUGAAAGCUGGGGGAGCAAACCGGAUUAGAAACCCCAGUAGUCC
rnacentral:rRNA from 1 species